rnacentral:piRNA from 1 species
AACUCUGGACUGUGGACAGUCAAC